UACAGAGGUGGCAAGCGUUGUUCGGAAUUACUGGGCGUAAAGGGCGCGUAGGCGGCCUACUAAGUCAGACGUGAAAUCCCCCGGCUUAACCUGGGAACUGCGUCUGAUACUGGAAGGCUUGAGGAUGGGAGAGGGAUGUAGAAUUCCAGGUGUAGCGGUGAAAUGCGUAGAUAUCUGGAGGAAUACCGGUGGCGAAGGCGGCAUCCUGGACCAUUACUGACGCUGAGGCGUGAAAGCUAGGGGAGCAAACGGG
rnacentral:rRNA from 1 species